GAUGAACGCUAGCUACAGGCUUAACACAUGCAAGUCGAGGGGAAACGAUAGAGAAAGCUUGCUUUUUCUAGGCGUCGACCGGCGCACGGGUGAGUAACGCGUAUCCAACCUGCCCAUCACUUGGGGAUAACCUUGCGAAAGUAAGACUAAUACCCAAUGACGUCUCUAGAAGACAUCUGAAAGAGAUUAAAGAUUUAUCGGUGAUGGAUGGGGAUGCGUCUGAUUAGCUUGUUGGCGGGGUAACGGCCCACCAAGGCGACGAUCAGUAGGGGUUCUGAGAGGAAGGUCCCCCACAUUGGAACUGAGACACGGUCCAAACUCCUACGGGAGGCAGCAGUGAGGAAUAUUGGUCAAUGGGCGGAAGCCUGAACCAGCCAUGCCGCGUGAAGGACUAAGGCCCUACGGGUCGUAAACUUCUUUAGACGCAGAGCAAUAAGGUCCACGUGUGGACCGAUGAGAGUAUGCGUAGAAUAAGCAUCGGCUAACUCCGUGCCAGCAG
rnacentral:rRNA from 1 species